rnacentral:tmRNA from 6 species
GGGGAUGUAUAGUUUCGACAGGAUUGCUCUUUGAAAACUGCAAGCCGCUAAAGAAAUCUUAAGCGUUAAAUAUGGUUUCAAAACACAAACGGCAAUGAUAUUGCUCGUUACCUGAAGCAGUUCGCUGCUAAAUUUACAGGUACUGUUAACCCGUUCGCGGGUUUACAGCCUGCUUUAGUAGCUUAAGCUAAAGGUUACCUUAGAAAAUGUUCUCCUUCUGACGGAAUACUAAGGUACGUACAAAGUCAGGAUGCUGUAAUUUUGGUGUUGGUUGAUCCGAAGUUACAAAAGACAAUUCAAUCAUUCAUUAGUUUUCCUUCCAGUUGGUUACAACUGAUGAACAAAAAUUAACUGGAUAAGCUUGUAGAGGUUUGAAAAGUUACAAUUUUGGACUCGGCUGCAAAGCCGACAUCUCCACCU